AGAGAGAGACAUGCGCGCAUAUCAAUAAGCGGAGGAAAAGAAACUAACAAGGAUUCCCUUAGUAACGGCGAGUGAAGCGGGAAGAGCUCAAAUUUGAAAUCUUCAAGGUUCUACCUUGACGAAUUGUAGUUUAUAGAAGUGUUUUCUGUUAGGUGGUUUGGUAAAAGUUCUUUGGAAUAGGACAUCAUAGAGGGUGAGAAUCCCGUAUUUGGUCAUUCCUCCUAGCGUUGUGAUACACUUUCAACGAGUCGGAUUGUUUGGGAAUGCAGUCCAAAAUGGGUGGUAAAUUUCAUCUAAAGCUAAAUAUUGGCGAGAGACCGAUAGCGAACAAGUACCGUGAGGGAAAGAUGAAAAGAACUUUGAAAAGAGAGUUAAACAGUACGUGAAAUUGUCAAAAGGGAAGCGUUUGACACCAGUGUUGUUUUUCCGAAAAUCAAUUACGAAUGUUUUAUUUUUGAGGAGUUAUGACUUCAUCGGCUUGCUCCUUUCUUUACGAAACUUUCUUAAUGCACUUUUCGGUUAACAAGUCAACAUCAAUUUCUUUUGUUGUAAAAGGGUAUGAGGAAGGUGGCUUUCUUUUCGGAGAAAGUGUUUAUAGCCUUGUGCCUCUGCAAUCGGAGAGAUUGAGGUCUGCAGCGUGGAUCCUUCGGGGUUAGAUACGUUUGUGCUAAGUUAUAGCUUUUCAUAGACAACUUGUUGACUAUGUUUAGUCUUGUAGCUUACUCGCUGACGCUAUUUUACCUACGCUUAGGAUGUUGAUAGUCACAGCGUGUAC
rnacentral:rRNA from 1 species